UCUUAGACUCAGAAUCCAUUAUGGUGCAGU
rnacentral:piRNA from 1 species